GACGAACGCUGGCGGCGUGCUUAACACAUGCAAGUCGAACGGAAAGGCCCUGCUUUUGUGGGGUGCUCGAGUGGCGAACGGGUGAGUAACACGUGAGUAACCUGCCCUUGACUUUGGGAUAACUUCAGGAAACUGGGGCUAAUACCGGAUAGGAGCUCCUGCUGCAUGGUGGGGGUUGGAAAGUUUCGGCGGUUGGGGAUGGACUCGCGACUUAUCAGCUUGUUGGUGGGGUAGUGGCUUACCAAGGCUUUGACGGGUAGCCGGCCUGAGAGGGUGACCGGCCACAGUGGGACUGAGAUACGGCCCAGACUCCUACGGGAGGCAGCAGUGGGGAAUAUUGCACAAUGGGCGGAAGCCUGAUGCAGCAACGCCGCGUGCGGGAUGACGGCCUUCGGGUUGUAAACCGCUUUCGCCUGUGACGAAGCGUGAGUGACGGUAAUGGGUAAAGAAGCACCGGCUAACUACGUG
rnacentral:rRNA from 1 species